GAAACCAAGACAACAAAUUCCAGCUAGAGUUUCUAGUCUGAGCCGACGUCUUGGUAAAUAGGAAUCCUCUUGAUCCUUGGUCAGCUUUUAUAGUUGAUUGAGUUUGCACGGGGAGAACAA
rnacentral:snoRNA from 1 species